rnacentral:tRNA from 1 species
ACUAUUUUGGCAGAUUAGUGCAAUAAAUUUAGAAUUUAUGAAUGUAAUAUUAUUACAAAUAGUA